UGAGUUGCUCUGACAGUACCCAGUUUUUAUUUCAGUGCACCAUAACGUAUAAUAACGUACUGGAAAGUCACGCUUUUACUCCUAAAGAGCGUACUUGUUUUCUCCCAUGUCUUCAUUCUUCCGCUGGGAGGGUACAGCCUCGAGCUUCCUGCUGCGUGGCGGAAGGAGGCGCCGCGUCAGCAAGGCCAUUCCCGCAGGAUGGAUCGUUGUGAGGAGUGUUAUCAGCCAUCGCUUCACGAGAGCCCAGGAAGGACGACAGAGUGAAGGAAAACAACACACGUACUCGCACUAAUAACUGCUACUAUAGAGAGGAAACCGCUGCCGCUACUACCACUUCAUCUAUCAGAUUUGGAGGAUUCGAACGUCUGCUUCCUGAGUACCACUUGCUUCGGAGCCCCACGCACGUAACACCUCCUUGCCCUGCUCUCAACUACCUCAGUUGUUUCAGGGAGUGUCCCCCACAGCCUGGUCGGUGUGGCCGGGUCUGCAGUCACACAUUCCUCUCUGCCAUCUCAGCCGGGAAGCAGAAGGCAAAAGAUGCUGAUAUGGAGAAUAUAUAGGAGUAAUCAUACAAACCAGCUGUAGCAUGACAAGAGAUGAACGAAGAGAGAACGCGUAAAUAGGUAGGGCGCUGCGAUCGACAAGGAAGAUGGACAUGCCACGUGCUUCAGUGACAGUGUUUAUCUCCCUUUCCUCGUGGUUGCUGUUCCCGUCACUCCAUUACAACCUCACGCACCUAAAAUUGCAGAUCCAAGAUGUGAGGGAGUGACUUGUUAUAAAGGCUUGAACUACAACCAUAUAGUUAAUGGUUACCUCCCAAACCAAGACAAGACCAAGUGACAUGGUGGACUCUUCCUGGUGGAUGACUACUCCAUUAAAGGAACCACUUCAUCUGGCACCUAAGGCAACAUGUGUUUGCACCCUUCCCUCACUCCCAGCUUCCCAGUCACUCACACUUGCCUCUCAGUAUUCUCUGUUCAUAUAUUCAUCAUAACUCAUUUUUUUUUUCAUAAAACAUUUUUAUUAGUGCCAUUGGACUCAAUAUAACUAUGCAACUUAGAUAUGGCCAUCUUAGCUCCAUGAACCAAAAUAUUGAAUUUAGAAGAUAAUAUCUGAAAUGUUUACAACUGGGUUUACUUGGUUUACCACAUAUCUUGUGCCAGAGUGUUGUACAACGACUGCAUUCCCAUGCCUUUAUCAGGCCAAGAAGGGCAGCUGUGAUUGAUUGGCCAGCAGAGUGAGCCAUCCCCUCUCCUGCACAGGCAUCUCUGCUCUACAGGUUUUACUUCUGUUUUAAUGUAGUUAACUUAUUACUUUAUGUACUUGACCUUUUCACCACUGGAGAAUGGUAAUGGAUUAGGUUUUGAAAAAUCAGUGACUUAAGAGAUAAGAUGUGAUUAGAAAAAAGUUUUAUAAAUGCUUUUAUUACCUUUAUAUUCUACAUUAUCUUUAAUGUGAUUGUAAGGUAAGGCAAUUCAGAAUUCCUGUAUGUAAUUAGAAUAAUUCCUCUUGAAUAUGACUGCACUAAAAAUUUGGAUAAUGUAGAAAAGAAUGGAAGAAGGCACCGUUUUGAGAUAUACUUGGUGGACAUCUGCCAUUCUUUAUUGUAAGGCAUGAACAACCAUGCCAUUCUUUAUUGUAAGGCAUGAACAACCACACAAUGCAGAAUGGCUGCUGUCCACUGUAUAUGUCACAAAAACUGUCUUCUUUCCUCUGUGUCUGCAUUAUCAAGAAUUUGAUCACACCAUCAUAUUCAGAAAAAUUCUUAUAUUACAUACAGCAAUUUUGAAUUGUAUUCUCUCUCUCUCUCUCUCUCUCUCUCUCUCUCUCUCUCUCUCUCUCUCUCUCUCUCUCUCUCUCUCUCUCUCUCUCUCUCUCUCUCUCUCUCUCUCUCUCUCUCUCUCUCUUUUGUUCCUUGAAUUUUUUUACUCUUGAUUUCUCAGCACAUUUGUGAUCCACCAUCAUUCUACUUCCCAAAUAAGUGACUUGUUAAGAGAACACAAAUAAGUGACUUGUUAAGAGAACACAAAUAAGUGACUUGUUAAGAGAACACAAGUUAAAUAGAGAGAAAGAGAGAGAGGUGGGAUGGUGAUAAAAUCAGGUAAUCUUGGGAGGGUAAACAGUCAUUUUUCUUUCUAAAGAAACUUUAUUGAUGUAAAAAUGUGAAUUGUACAAUUCAGCAACAUGUGGAAUUGAUUCAGCAAUCUAAUGGUCUAUAAUACAAACUAAGUGAGUAAUUAUUACUCUUAACAAAAAAAAGAAAUUAUAUAAGAGACUGGAAGAUGCAUUUCAAAGUUGGCAUGCAUGGCUGAUACCCUGGGUACAAGGUCUGGAGCAUUUUGAAUCUUCUGGGGCAAAUGGGUUAAUGGUUCAAAGUCUGCUGAAAAUAGUGAUGAUUAUACAAUGUGAUGAUGUUAUUUAAGCAUUUCAGAUGUUAUCUAGUAAAUUCUGUCACAUUGCCUUUAGAUUUUGGUUUGUCAAGAUAUAAAUUGCACAGCUUUGUUUUAUUAGUUACUGCAGAGGUUUAUUUUAUUAGUUACUGUAGAAUCCAGCAGCAUCAAACUGCUAGACUAGAGAGAAGUCCUGAUGACAUAUAUACAAAUGCAUAGAGCACUGAGGGAAAAAGCAUGAGUGACGUGUAAACCAAACAGGAGAGCUAUUGCCUAGGCACAAUAUGAAUGAAUUCCAAGUAGUGUUCAACAACAGCAGUACCUGGCUGUGGAGGGAAACAAUGCUGUGUAUGAGAGAUUUACACAAUGUAUUUGACCAGGGAAAUGAGAACACACCGUAUUUGACCAGGGAAAUGAGAACACACCUAUCACCACCACUACAGGUCCCCUACCUCCCUCUUUUUGGCAGAGCAGUCAUUAAUGUACUCCUAACAUUAUUGUCACUUCCCUUUAUUUUUAUAUAGUGUUCCAUGAGUGCUUAUUUUUUUUAUUCCAUGAGUGCUUUUAAUGCCAAGUUUCAUGUGUAAGGCUGUAUUCUGAAAUGCUCUGGUCUCACCACGACUGUUAAAAAACCACAAUGAUGAUUAGCUGGGUUUUUAAGUUUCUUCUGUUAAUAAUGUAAAUUAGUUGGGUUUUGAAGAUUCUUGUUAAUAGUGUAGGAAUUUGUUAAUCUGUCAAUUGAAUCAUAAUAAUGCUUAAAAACCUGUUUAACUCAGUCUUUUGAAUAUAGUGUAAGUGUGGUACAAGUGUUUCAGAAUAUGGUAUAGUAAUUAAACCUGAAUACAUGAGUAGUUGGUGAGGGGAAGAGUGUGGGCUACAGUGAUGGCCGUGCCAUCUUGGAGGGUGUUGAUGUUUACUUGAUUACACAUCAAGAUUUUUCAAGAUCUGAAGAGGUAAAGUUAAAUUCAUUGUAGCAAUUAAGAGCUAAAACAAACUCAAUAUGCAACAGCUAAAACAAACUCAAUAUGGCAACAGCAAUCAGUCAGGCAUUGCAGGAAGGGACUAUGUAGCCACUACCACUGAUGUGCAUUCUUAUUUAAAUGUCCUAAUACUUCUAAGCCAAAGCUUUAAAAGCAUUUUACCAUAGAAUGUUUGUCUUAGUAUUACUUAAUAUCUCAUUUCUGCAUGUGACUUUGCUCAUGGUACACUUCUGAAGAUAUCUUGGUUACUAAUGUUUUUAAAAGUAUUAACCCCUUGGAAAUUGUAAAAACAAUCGAACUUGUUUUUGAUGACUCGACUCAUGCCACAGGAAGUUUAAUACAUGAAAAUUUUUGAUGACUGAACUCAUGCCACAGGAGGUUUAAUGCAUGAAAAUUCAGAUGAGCAAGUUAUUUACAAUUGUGUUCAUGUUUUUUGAAAACUUAUGGGAAGAUUUAAAUAAGUGACAAUUUUAUGAAAAAUUUGGAAAGUGGGAAGAACAUUACAUAAACCCUAACCAAUUGCCACACAAAAAAAAAGGGAAGGAGAUAGUACACUAUUUAUAGUCUGCUGCUCUCUCUCUCUCUCUCUCUCUCUCUCUCUCUCUCUCUCUCUCUCUCUCUCUCUCUCUCUCUCUCUCUCUCUCUCUCUCUCUCUCUCUCUCUCUCUCUCUCUCUCAUUCCACAUGCCCACAGUGUCCCCCCACAGUAUGUUUACAAACCACAGUCACUCACCCCAGCUUCAUAUCACAUCAAGUUUCUGUAUUAUCUUUACCCCUAGCUCAGCAAUGAAAUUUCUAUAUUUACUCAAGGUCAAUAAUGUAGUGAGUGAUUAAAUAAAUUUU